AGGGGGUUGGACUAGAAGACCUCCAAGAGGCAUUCUGGUCCCCAAACUUUCACAUGCUAUAGAUUGCAAGUCUCAGAGUGCCCAGAUUGCUUUACGCCAGGGGUGUCAAACUUGAUUUCACUGAGACCUGCAUCAGCCAGUGAGUCUAUG